rnacentral:antisense_RNA from 1 species
GCGGAUCACCGUGGUCCUUGCGGCUCCCGGGCGUGGCCAUUUACAACCCGCUUCGCACCUGCUAGAGAAAAGACCCCGGCCAUGGAUGGGAGACCUAGGACAAAGACGGAAAAGAGGUCAGACACAAAUUUUGCAAUGCUUGGCACCAGACAGCUGCUCAAUGAGGAACACAACUGCAUCAUGGAGAAUCCCCAGCAUCCUCAAACCGUUAACACCUAGAAGAAUCAGAAGCACCAGGGCAGUGAGGAGCGCAGUCAACAGGAAACAGCAUGGUCCUACAGAAAUGCCUAUGCUACAGUCACUCUGCCAGAGGCUGCUCCAGGGUGAAUUAUAGUACAUAUUAGCUCGAAAUUAGCAUCAGAUAGCCAUUAAAAUGAUGCUGAUACAGAUCUAUCAAUAUGGAAAAUGUUUGUGAUAGACGGCUAAGUGAAAAAAGCAUGCCACCAAA